UGUACUAGUUAAACUUGUUUGAACAAUGGAGGGACGCAGGAGGCUAAGAAAAGCACACAGUUGGAUAAGUGUGCCCAAGCAACAAGUCUUAGAUAGAGUUAAAUGCUUUAUCUUUUCAGGACAAGUUGUGAUGGGGAGCGAAAUUUAAGUAGCGAAGUUUCUGAUGUCACACUGCCGAGAAAAGCUUCUAGUUAGAGUUUAACUACCCGUACCGCAAACCGACACAGGUAGUCGAGGAGAGUAUCCUCAGGUGAGCGAGAGAACUCUCGUUAAG
rnacentral:rRNA from 1 species